rnacentral:lncRNA from 1 species
UUUUUUAAAAUGACACAUUCAUACAAUUAAAAGAAAAUACUAUUGAAGCGUGCAGUAAGAGUGUGUUGAGUGAAAGAAGGCAGGCCAGAAGGAAAAAUAAAUGAUAGAGAAGAAUAGUCCCAUAUGGUUAUAUGGCUCUGUUCAUAUAAAAUUCUAGGAAGUGCAGACUUGAGUGAGACAUGCAGAGCAGUAUUCUCAGGCAAUGGGAAUAGGGAGAUGGAUGACUCACAAAGGAGGGUAAAAAACACUUAUCCAUAGUCAAAAUGUUAUUUUGAUUACACUGAUGGCAUCACAGUUUUUUUUAUAUAUUUCAAAGUUGAUUAAAUAAUUAAAUUUAAAUAAAGACAGUGUAUUAUACCUACAGUAGUUAUUUUAAACAUGACAGGAUUUUGCUUUCAUUUCUUUUUAGAACCUGCAGCAAAUACUGUUUUUCAGUGUCAAAGUAGUUCAAAGACUGUUACAAAAAAAUUAACUUCAGCUGUUGAUCAGUCUGGUGUACAAGAAAAUGGUGCAGAACAAAAGGAAAUAAAUGGAAGGCUGCCCAAGUCAAGACCAAGCUACCACAAUGAAUCAGGACCUCAAACUCAUGCUGCAGCCCCUAUUGUCUCAAAUAUGUAAGUAUCUUAAAAUUAGUGUGCAAUCAUGAGUUAGUAUUUUAAUAAUUGCACACAAGUCCUAUUCAUAGCACAUGGCUACGUGGAAUCUUCUCUUCCUGUAGUUCUACUUGGAAUUAGGGAAACUUCAUUUUUUGAAAACUUGGAACUAAGUUCAAUUUGUAGCUACAGGCAGCGUUUGUCUUCCUCCUUUUUUGUCUCCUUCUCCUCACUUUGCCUACAUUCAGGAUCUUCAUGCCUCUUUUCCACAUUGCUUCCCAUGAGUUGAAUGUUUUGCUUUCUUCUCUUUAAAGCUGAUUUACCAUCUUCAUGCCUUUUGGGAUUAUUGGCUUCUUAAGGAUGGUAAAAGAGUUUAGCAUAUAAAAUUAAUGAUCUAAUCAAUAAUCCCCUUCCUACAAGGUAUACACAGUGUAAUCCAAAAUAAUAUCUCUAGGCCCAGGGAUGUAGCUCAGUGGUUCUGGAGCCUGCCUCACAAGUGCAAGGUCCCGAGUUCAAUCCCCGGUACCAAAAACAAAACAAAACAAAACAAAACAAAAUAAUAAUUUCUAAUGAAGCUUUAGACACUUGGAAGAUAUAUUUUUAAGCCCAGGUGCUUUUCAUUCCUCAACCUUUGUUGACAAUCUAUUUUAGUGACAUUUGUAUUUAUUUUUCUCAACAUGAGAGGGGGGAGCAAGAUUACCAUUUAAGACCACACAGUUCCACCACAUUUAAAAAAAAUUUUCUGUAGAGAAAUUCUCUGAUAUAAAAGAAAUAAACUGACUAGAUGACUAAAAUUUUGGAAACUUUUUCGUAAAUUAUUCAUCCUAACUACUAACUAAAUGAAAAAACUUUCUUUACAGGCAACAGAAUCUUCUACAAAAUUGUGUGCCAGCGAAAGUACGUAUCCUAAAAUCCACUGAUAAAGCAGCAUAUUAAUUACACUUUUUAUACUGUUAUAGUAGAAAAACAGUUGUAAACCGGACACCUGAGAGUCAUGCACUGAAAUUUGCCAGUCCUUUGCCUUUUAUCCUCUUGAUGUUUACUUUCAGUUUAGUCUCCUAUUUCGUUAUGGUCUAAAGUUGCUAUUAAAAGGUAGUUGGUGCCCUAGCGUAAAGAGUCUAGAUAGAUCCGUCAGGAAACAAAAGGAGCAGUGUGGAGCUGCAUUUUGGACACAUUUCCUACACACACCCACUAAAUCCAUGGAGCAGUCAACACACACAAAGCUUUCAAUUCAAGGGAAACUUCUCAGUUUAAUAUCAUAAUGAGAAACUUUGAAAAAUGUAAUUCCAUUUACCUUGUUUCACUACAUCCAAAACUAUGUUGUAGUUGAUUUGCAACCAUUAUCUUCUCUGUUAAAAUUUAGCUUUUAUUAUUGGAUAUACUGAGAAAUACUGAUUUAUGGCACAUUAAUGUAAGAUUAGUGUUUUAUAAAGUAAUCUGUCACCCCAAAAUAUUUUCAAACCACUAGCCACUGUCUGUAACAUUAAUGAAAAAAAUCUAGUAGGAAUUUCAGAGACUAGAGCCAAACAAAAUGGCGUUUCUUGUGUUAAUACCCCCAAA